rfam:Aspergillus niger ATCC 1015, whole genome shotgun sequence.
AUCCAAUGAUGAGAAACAAUUUUUUCAGUUCUGCUUCUGCAAAAACCUUGAAGAAAACAAAAUACCUUACCAAAAACUCCUGAUCC